rnacentral:lncRNA from 1 species
AUGAAUGACAGUCUCCAGCAUAACAUGCAACAUUAUAUAUUACAGUGGGACUUGACUACAAGAACACUCAGUGCUGCUGAGAAGAUCCAACAGGAAGCAAGAAAGGAGAAAGAUGAAGUAGAUAACCUAAAGGAUGAGAAUGAGAUUCUCCGAGAUGCCCUAAGAUGUUGUACAAUACAAUUGGAGUCAGCUACUAACAAGCUUGAGGCUGCUGAGAAGGAGAUAGAGCGAAAGGAAAAAGAGGUGAGCAUAGCAAAGAAUUAAAUGCUGAGAAAUCAUUCAUCAAGUUGCCAAGUUUCACAGAAGAGAUCUCACUCCAUUAUGGAAAGAAAAUGAAUUAUGGUGUCUCUGGUCUCUGUAAAGCACAGAUGCAUCACUAACAGAUUUCUCAAGGACUUCUCUGUUGGCUUCCAGUAUCUCUGUUCCCUUACAAUUUUUAUCUUUUUAAAAUUUUACACUCAUAUUGCCAUUUCUCUGUAUUCUGACUUCUUAAGUUCUUAGCCUGAAUUCUGGGCUUUUUAGUAACUCCCUCAUGUCCCCUGAAUCCAUAUUCUGUCCCUUCUCCAGAAAGUAAAGAUUUCUCUGGAUGGAAGAGCAAAAAGUUUCAUUUUAGGAAGACCAAUUUGGAUUAGAUAGUUAGACAUCAUCCAGUUUUGAGUUUCUCAACACUAAUUUCUAGAGUCAAGGUCCAUGAACUUCCAUGAUAAUAGCUUUUCCAAAUCCAAAAUUUUGGCCAUUACAAUGGAUGGAAAAAAAUUACAGCAUUGAAAGACAACUGAUACUCUGCAUGUGUGGGUGGCUGGUGCUGACCUGCUGAAGAAAGAAAGCCAACUAUAAGCAUGGUUAGGUUUCCUUCCUGCUGAUACAAAGAUGCCUAAUGGCUUAAUCAACAAAACUUUGGGCAAAAUGGCUUUGGCAAACUCCGAAGCACCAGAAGACAGAUCUGUACAAUCAUUUUCUUAUUUAGCUAAUCACUUUUUUUACAUUCAUUGAGGCAAAGUUAAUUUGUUCCUCCCAGUAGAGAACAAUUUAAGAAAAUAUAGAUUUCAAGGGGCAGCUAACUGGCACAGUGGAUCGAAAGUCAGGUGUGAUGACAAGAGUUCCUGGGUUCAAAUCUGGCCUCACGCACUUUCCAGCUAUUUGACACUGGGCAAGAAAUUUAACUUCAGCUACCUACCCUUACUGCUGUUCUGCCUUGAAACAAAACUCAGCAAUGAUUCUAAUACAGGAGCUAAAGGUUUAAGAAAAUGAUGGAUUUCAUAAA